UACAGAGGGGGCAAGCGUUGUUCGGAAUUACUGGGCGUAAAGGGCGCGUAGGCGGCCUGCUAAGUCGAACGUGAAAUCCCCGGGCUUAACCCGGGAACUGCGUCCGAUACUGGUGGGCUUGAAUCCGGGAGAGGGAUGUGGAAUUCCAGGUGUAGCGGUGAAAUGCGUAGAUAUCUGGAGGAACACCGGUAGCGAAGGCGGCAUCCUGGACCGGUAUUGACGCUGAGGCGCGAAAGCUAGGGGAGCAAACGGG
rnacentral:rRNA from 1 species